GAGAAAGACUCGCGAGGGGGAGGGAGGGACCGGGGACUCGAAGGAGGGGAGGGGGCAACAGGAGCUCGAUACCGAGCAACACGGACAGCAGCAUCCAGACUGUUGUCCCUUCCUGUUUAUUAACACCAGUUCGCGAUAACCUUUUGGAGAUGCACAGUGGUUGACGGUGCAUGCGUGCUGAUUUCAUUUCGAGUCGGUUCUGGAGUUGUGGGAACUAGUCCCACUUGUACACAAGUUCUUACUAAAUAAAAGACUUGGAGGGAGCACACGCCCUGAUGGAUGGAUAUGGGAUACCUGCCGACCUUAGAUAGUGGCUGUACCACUCAACAUGGAGCUGAGAUGCUGGAAGAUCGCCCGAGAUCAGGCUCCAGGGUCUGAGACCUGAACACCCUGAACACAGCCCCC